AUCGCUUCUCAGACUUUUGGCUAAGAUCAAGUGUAGUAUCUGUUCAUAUCAGUUUAAAAUGAUAAUCACAUGAUUUUAGUUCCUGUCAGAACUUAGAAUUUAGCUGUAUAAAGUUUUAAUAUUUGUACAUAGUAAGUACUAAGUGUUACGAAUUACUCAA
rnacentral:snRNA from 1 species